GCAUGCUGGAGGUAUCAGAAGUGCGAAUGCUGACAUAAGUAACGAUAAAGCGGGUGAAAAGCCCGCUCGCCGGAAGACCAAGGGUUCCUGUCCAACGUUAAUCGGGGCAGGGUGAGUCGACCCCUAAGGCGAGGCCGAAAGGCGUAGUCGAUGGGAAACAGGUUAAUAUUCCUGUACUUGGUGUUACUGCGAAGGGGGGACGGAGAAGGCUAUGUUGGCCGGGCGACGGUUGUCCCGGUUUAAGCGUGUAGGCUGGUUUUCCAGGCAAAUCCGGAAAACUAAGGCUGAGGCGUGAUGACGAGGCACUACGGUGCUGAAGCAACAAAUGCCCUGCUUCCAGGAAAAGCCUCUAAGCAUCAGGUAACAUCAAAUCGUACCCCAAACCGACACAGGUGGUCAGGUAGAGAAUACCAAGGCGCUUGAGAGAACUCGGGUGAAGGAACUAGGCAAAAUGGUGCCGUAACUUCGGGAGAAGGCACGCUGAUAUGUAGGUGAAGUCCCUCGCGGAUGGAGCUGAAAUCAGUCGAAGAUACCAGCUGGCUGCAACUGUUUAUUAAAAACACAGCACUGUGCAAACACGAAAGUGGACGUAUACGGUGUGACGCCUGCCCGGUGCCGGAAGGUUAAUUGAUGGGGUCAGCGCAAGCGAAGCUCUUGAUCGAAGCCCCGGUAAACGGCGGCCGUAACUAUAACGGUCCUAAGGUAGCGAAAUUCCUUGUCGGGUAAGUUCCGACCUGCACGAAUGGCGUAAUGAUGGCCAGGCUGUCUCCACCCGAGACUCAGUGAAAUUGAACUCGCUGUGAAGAUGCAGUGUACCCGCGGCAAGACGGAAAGACCCCGUGAACCUUUACUAUAGCUUGACACUGAACAUUGAGCCUUGAUGUGUAGGAUAGGUGGGAGGCUUUGAAGUGUGGACGCCAGUCUGCAUGGAGCCGACCUUGAAAUACCACCCUUUAAUGUUUGAUGUUCUAACGUUGACCCGUAAUCCGGGUUGCGGACAGUGUCUGGUGGGUAGUUUGACUGGGGCGGUCUCCUCCUAAAGAGUAACGGAGGAGCACGAAGGUUGGCUAAUCCUGGUCGGACAUCAGGAGGUUAGUGCAAUGGCAUAAGCCAGCUUGACUGCGAGCGUGACGGCGCGAGCAGGUGCGAAAGCAGGUCAUAGUGAUCCGGUGGUUCUGAAUGGAAGGGCCAUCGCUCAACGGAUAAAAGGUACUCCGGGGAUAACAGGCUGAUACCGCCCAAGAGUUCAUAUCGACGGCGGUGUUUGGCACCUCGAUGUCGGCUCAUCACAUCCUGGGGCUGAAGUAGGUCCCAAGGGUAUGGCUGUUCGCCAUUUAAAGUGGUACGCGAGCUGGGUUUAGAACGUCGUGAGACAGUUCGGUCCCUAUCUGCCGUGGGCGCUGGAGAACUGAGGGGGGCUGCUCCUAGUACGAGAGGACCGGAGUGGACGCAUCACUGGUGUUCGGGUUGUCAUGCCAAUGGCACUGCCCGGUAGCUAAAUGCGGAAGAGAUAAGUGCUGAAAGCAUCUAAGCACGAAACUUGCCCCGAGAUGAGUUCUCCCUGACUCCUUGAGAGUCCUGAAGGAACGUUGAAG
rnacentral:rRNA from 1 species